rnacentral:tRNA from 1 species
ACUUCCGUAGUCUAACGGUUAGGACACGGUCCUGAUAAGGCCGAUACACUAGUUCAACUCUAGUCGGAAGUA